UACGUAGGGAGCUAGCGUUGUCCGGAAUUACUGGGCGUAAAGGGUGCGUAGGCGGCGAUGUAAGUCAGAUGUGAAAUCCCCGGGCUCAACUCGGGUUCUGCAUUUGAAACUACAUUGCUUGAGUGCAGGAGAGGAAAGCGGAAUUCCUAGUGUAGCGGUGAAAUGCGUAGAUAUUAGGAAGAACACCAGUGGCGAAGGCGGCUUUCUGGACUGUAACUGACGCUGAGGCACGAAAGCGUGGGGAGCAAAC
rnacentral:rRNA from 1 species